rnacentral:rRNA from 1 species
UACGUAGGGGGCAAGCGUUGUCCGGAAUUAUUGGGCGUAAAGAGCUCGUAGGCGGCCUGGCGCGUCCGUCGUGAAAGCCUGGGGCUCAACCCCAGGUCUGCAGUGGAUACGGGCAGGCUAGAGUCAGGUAGGGGAGAACGGAAUUCCUGGUGUAGCGGUGAAAUGCGUAGAUAUCGGGAGGAACACCAGUGGCGAAGGCGGCUUUCUGGCCCGUUCUUGACGCUGAGGCGCGAAAGCUAGGGUAGCAAACGGG